UAGGGAAUCUUCCACAAUGGGCGAAAGCCUGAUGGAGCAACGCCGCGUGAGUGAGGAAGGCUUUCGGGUCGUAAAGCUCUGUUGCCAGGGAAGAACGCCUAAGAGAGUAACUGCUCUUAGGGUGACGGUACCUGAGAAGAAAGCCCCGGCUAACUACGUGCCAGUAGCCGCGGUAAUACGUAGGGGGCAAGCGUUGUCCGGAAUUAUUGGGCGUAAAGCGCGCGCAGGUGGUCUUUUAAGUCUGGUGUUUAAGUGCGGGGCUCAACCCCGUGACGCACUGGAAACUGGAGGGCUUGAGUGCAGAAGAGGAGAGCGGAAUUCCACGUGUAGCGGUGAAAUGCGUAGAGAUGUGGAGGAACACCAGUGGCGAAGGCGGCUCUCUGGCCUGUAACUGACGCUGAGGCGCGAAAGCGUGGGGAGCAAACAG
rnacentral:rRNA from 1 species